ensembl:lncRNA
CAAAAUAUUAACACACAAACACUACUGAAGGAAGAAAACUUAACCAAGAGAAAAAGUCAUGGAUUACCUGAUGAUGGACAUUGGAGGACACCGUCUGCGCUGCACAAUGCAGAGACGCAGGAGGUUGAUGGACUUCCUCAGUGACACUUGCUCAAGGGGGUCAUCUCAGCGUCACCAGGGGUCAUCUCAGCGUCACCAGGGGUCAUCUCAGCGUCAUCUCAGGGGUCAUCUCAGCGGCGGCAGAGAGCGAGGAGAAGAGCCAAGACCCCCCGCCGCUCUGACGCAGAGGGCCCCAACCACAGGGGCCCCCCAGGCGCUGUCGGCCCCCGAAGCACCUGGACCCGCUCCAGCCGGACAGGCCGGUCGCCGACCCCGUCACCCCCCACCUCCUCCUACACCUCCUCCUCCACCUCCUACACCUCCUCCACCACCUCCUACCUCCUUCACCUCUCCCACCUCCCCCACCUCCCCC